UACGAAGGGGGCUAGCGUUGCUCGGAAUCACUGGGCGUAAAGGGCGCGUAGGCGGCCAUUCAAGUCAGGGGUGAAAGCCUGUGGCUCAACCACAGAAUUGCCUUUGAUACUGUUUGGCUAGAGACCGGAAGAGGUAAGUGGAACUGCGAGUGUAGAGGUGAAAUUCGUAGAUAUUCGCAAGAACACCAGUGGCGAAGGCGGCUUACUGGUCCGGUUCUGACGCUGAGGCGCGAAAGCCAGGGGAGCAAACGGG
rnacentral:rRNA from 1 species